GACGUAGGGGGCCAGCGUUGUUCGGAAUUACUGGGUGUAAAGGGUUCGUAGGCGGUGUGGCAAGUCGGGAGUGAAAUCUCUGGGCUCAACUCAGAGACUGCUUCCGAAACUGCUGUGCUGGAGUGUGGGAGAGGCGCGUGGAAUUGCAGGUGUAGCGGUGAAAUGCGUAGAUAUCGGGAGGAACGCCGGUGGCGAAAGCGGCACGCUGGACCUUUGCUGACGCUGAUGCGCGAAAGCGUGGGGAGCAAACAGG
rnacentral:rRNA from 1 species